rnacentral:rRNA from 1 species
CCUACGGGAGGCAGCAGUGGGGAAUUUUCCGCAAUGGGCGAAAGCCUGACGGAGCAAUACCGCGUGAGGGAGGAAGGCUCUUGGGUUGUAAACCUCUUUUCUCAGGGAAGAAUUUAAUGACGGUACCUGAGGAAUAAGCAUCGGCUAACUCCGUGCCAGCAGCCGCGGUAAUACGGAGGAUGCAAGCGUUAUCCGGAAUGAUUGGGCGUAAAGCGUCCGCAGGUGGCUAUGUAAGUCUGCUGUUAAAGAGUCUAGCUCAACUAGAUAAAGGCAGUGGAAACUACAAGGCUAGAGUGCGUUCGGGGCAGAGGGAAUUCCUGGUGUAGCGGUGAAAUGCGUAGAGAUCAGGAAGAACACCGGUGGCGAAGGCGCUCUGCUAGGCCGCAACUGACACUGAGGGACGAAAGCUAGGGGAGCGAAUGGGAUUAGAUACCCCAGUAGUCCUAGCCGUAAACGAUGGAUACUAGGCGUGGCUUGUAUCGACCCGAGCCGUGCCGUAGCUAACGCGUUAAGUAUCCCGCCUGGGGAGUACGCCGGCAACGGUGAAACUCAAAGGAAUUGACGGCUGNGACGNGCGACGACGACGACGAGGAGAGG